rnacentral:rRNA from 1 species
AGCGAACGCUGGCGGCAGGCUUAACACAUGCAAGUCGAGCGGGCAUACUUGUGGUGUCUGCGGCAGACGGGUGAGUAACGCGUGGGAACGUGCCCUUCGGUUCGGAAUAACUUAGGGAAACUUGAGCUAAUACCGGAUACGCCCUUUUGGGGCAAGGUUUACUGCCGAAGGAUCGGCCCGCGUCGGCUUAUAUAGCUGGUGAGGUUAUGGCUCUCCAAGUCGACAGUCAGUAGCUGGUCUGCGAGGCUGAGCAGCGACCCUUGGACGGGGACACGGCCCAGACUCCUACGGGAGGCAGGAGUGGGUAAUAUAGGACAAUGGGGUCAACCAUGAUCCAGCCAGGCCGGGUGAGUGAUGACGGUCUUAGAGUUGUAAAGCUCUUUUCUCCGGGACGAUAAUGACGGUACCGGAGGAAUAAGCCCCGGCUAACUUCGUG